UUUUCAUUAAACUCGAAGGAAGCUCGUUUCUUACUUAUCAAUUUGUAUUUAAAUAUAUGUUUCCAUUUUUAAUAACUUUAUAAUUAAUGUUUAUUCAUUUAAUGUUGUUUAGUUUCGCGCCGAGUCGGACUGCUGUCAAAGUUAUAAGUUAUAUAAUUCAGCAGAAUUAUAAAACAUUUCUAAAGACUUUUAAAGAUGUUAAGGGCGAUGAUAGAGAACAUUGAUUUAAGAAAUUUCAGAAAAUGUGUGUAGGAACAAAUGAAAGAGAGGCGGAUUAAAAAAAAUUAUUAUGCCAGAACUUCAAGACGACUUUCUGACAUGCUACAACGUGUUAGAAAGCGUUGGGAUCUUCAUGGCAUCCGUCUGUGUAGGAACAAAUGAAAGAGAGGCGGAUUAAAAAAAAUUAUUAUGCCAGAACUUCAAGACGACUUUCUGACAUGCUACAACGUGUUAGAAAGCGUUGGGAUCUUCAUGGCAUCCGUCCCAGUUGGAUAGGAGAAGAAGUCUUUCAGGAACUUCUUAAAUAUUAGGAGAGUGAUGAGUUUCUGCCUAAAUCUGAAAAUGCAAAAAAGAUGAGAGCAUCUGAAAAAAGGGUUUGCCUUAAUGUUGUUGGAAGUAUAAGCACUGCUGAGCAUCUUCGACGUUUGAUAAUGAUUAUUAUCACUUUUUAAAGUUAUAAAUUCAUUUAAUAAUAGAUAUUAUUAAUUAUAGUUAAUUUUAUUAUUUAGGCUAAAGAAUUGAAUAGACAACCUCUGAUGACCGAGUUGAUUGCAAGGACUCGGACGAAGAAAACAAGAGGUUUUGUUGACGAGCGUACACAAAAAGCUAUGGAUGAUUAUCAGACAUUUCUUGUACGAUUUUUGAAUAUUAAUCCUUGAUAUACUCCAACACCGGGAGGGCCGCUUCAUUUGGAUGUGGAUUUUUUUCUUUGGAGUGAAGUCAUUUGCGGCAAGGGGCCUAACGAGUGUUUUUUUUGUGGUGGAAAUCUGGCGGGCACCUUGAGACCAGAUGAUAGAACUCUAUAUCAAAGAGUUAUUGACAGGGAAGGUGGUUGACGUCCCGUAACUUUGACACCGGAACAACGAGAAACCGUAAGACAAUUGGCGAUAAAUAAGGCGAGAUGCGAUGCGGCGGAACGUGAAGCGACUUUGAAGGCCCAAAUAGAGGCAAUGCAGAGUGAGCAUCAGCGGCAAAUGGAGGUCAUGACGAAGAGACAAUCGGAUAUGGAGGCCCAAAUGCGACAAUUUAUGCAAUCGUUUGGUGGAAACCAAAAUGUGGGUGGUUAUGCACCGACUGAUCAGGAGGACGGAAAUGAUGAUGAGUUUCCCGACCCGGACUGAUUGUUGAUUUAAUUUAGUUUUUAUUUUGUUGUUACUUUUGAUUUUGAAUUUGUGUAAAAUAUUGAUUAAUUUAUAAUUCCAUUUAGUAAUAUUUGGUUUAUAAUUUAAGUUUAUUAAU